AUGGUUAGCAAGACCACUAGUUUCAAGAAAAAGGGCAAAGGGAAGAAGAAGGGUAACUUCAAGAAGAACGGCAAGCAAGUUGCUGCUCAGGAGAAGAAACCCAAGUCUGGACCUAAGCCUGAAACUGAGUGCUUCUACUGCAAGCACACUGGUCACUGGAAGCGGAACUGCCCCAAGUAUUUGGCAGAUAAGAAGGAUGGCAAGGUGAACAAAGGUAUAUGUGAUAUACAUGUUAUUGAUGUGUACCUUACUAGAGCUCGCAGUAGCACCUGGGUAUUUGAUACUGGUUCUGUUGCUAAUAUUUGCAACUCGAAACAGGGACUACGGAUUAAGCGAACACUGGCAAAGGACGAGGUGACGAUGCGCGUGGGAAACGGUUCCAAAGUCGAUGUGAUCGCGGUCGGCACGCUACCUCUACAUGUACCUUCGGGAUUAAUAUUAGACCUAAAUAAUUGUUAUUUGGUGCCAGCGUUAAGCAUGAACAUUAUAUCUGGAUCUUGUUUGAUGCGAGACGGUUACUCAUUUAAAUCAGAGAAUAAUGGUUGUUCUAUUUAUAUGAGUAAUAUCUUUUAUGGUCAUGCACCUUUGAAGAGUGGUCUAUUUUUGAUGAAUCUCGAUAGUAGUAACACAGAUAUUCAUAAUGUUGAAGCCAAAAGAUGCAGAGUUGAUAAUGAUAGUGCAACUUAUUUGUGGCACUGCCGUUUAGGUCAUAACGGUGUAAAGCGCAUGAAGAAACUCCAUACUGAUGGACUUUUGGAACCACUUGAUUAUGAAUCACUUGGUACUUGCGAACCGUGCCUCAUGGGCAAGAUGACUGAAACACCGUCUCCGGUACUAUGGAGAGAGCAACAGAUUUGUUGGAAAUCAUACAUACCGAUGUAUGUGGUCCGAUGA
rnacentral:rRNA from 1 species